rnacentral:rRNA from 1 species
GACACGUGGUAUCCUGUCUGAAUAUGGGGGGACCAUCCUCCAAGGCUAAAUACUCCUGACUGACCGAUAGUGAACCAGUACCGUGAGGGAAAGGCGAAAAGAACCCCGGCGAGGGGAGUGAAAAAGAACCUGAAACCGUGUACGUACAAGCAGUGGGAGCACCUUCGGGUGUGACUGCGUACCUUUUGUAUAAUGGGUCAGCGACUUAUAUUCUGUAGCAAGGUUAACCGUAUAGGGGAGCCGCAGGGAAACCGAGUCUUAACUGGGCGUUAAGUUGCAGGGUAUAGACCCGAAACCCGGUGAUCUAGCCAUGGGCAGGUUGAAGGUUGGGUAACACUAACUGGAGGACCGAACCGACUAAUGUUGAAAAAUUAGCGGAUGACUUGUGGCUGGGGGUGAAAGGCCAAUCAAACCGGGAGAUAGCUGGUUCUCCCCGAAAGCU